rnacentral:rRNA from 1 species
AUUGAACGCUGGCGGCAGGCCUAACACGUGCAAGUCGAGCGGUAGCACAGAGAGCUUGCUCUCGGGUGACGAGCGGCGGACGGGUGAGUAAUGUCUGGGAAACUGCCUGAUGGAGGGGGAUAACUACUGGAAACGGUAGCUAAUACCGCAUAACGUCGCAAGACCAAAGUGGGGGACCUUCGGGCCUCAUGCCAUCAGAUGUGCCCAGAUGGGAUUAGCUAGUAGGUGGGGUAACGGCUCACCUAGGCGACGAUCCCUAGCUGGUCUGAGAGGAUGACCAGCCACACUGGAGCUGAGACACGGUCCAGACUCCUACGGGAGGCAGCAGUGGGGAAUAUUGCACAAUGGGCGCAAGCCUGAUGCAGCCAUGCCGCGUGUGUGAAGAAGGCCUUCGGGUUGUAAAGCACUUUCAGCGGGGAAGAAGGCGGUGGGGUUAAUAACCUUGUCGAUUGACGUUACCCGCAGAAGAAGCACCAGCUAACUCCGUGCCAGCAGCCGCGGUAAUACGGAGGGUGCAAGCGUUAAUCGGAAUUACUGGGCGUAAAGCGCACGCAGGCGGUCUGUCAAGUCGGAUGUGAAAUCCCCGGGCUCAACCUGGGAACUGCAUUCGAAACUGGCAGGCUAGAGUCUUGUAGAGGGGGGUAGAAUUCCAGGUGUAGCGGUGAAAUGCGUAGAGAUCUGGAGGAAUACCGGUGGCGAAGGCGGCCCCCUGGACAAAGACUGACGCUCAGGUGCGAAAGCGUGGGGAGCAAACAGGAUUAGAUACCCUGGUAGUCCACGCCGUAAACGAUGUCGAUUUGGAGGUUGUGCCCUUGAGGCGUGGCUUCCGGAGCUAACGCGUUAAAUCGACCGCCUGGGGAGUACGGCCGCAAGGUUAAAACUCAAAUGAAUUGACGGGGGCCCGCACAAGCGGUGGAGCAUGUGGUUUAAUUCGAUGCAACGCGAAGAACCUUACCUGGUCUUGACAUCCACAGAACUUUCCAGAGAUGGAUUGGUGCCUUCGGGAACUGUGAGACAGGUGCUGCAUGGCUGUCGUCAGCUCGUGUUGUGAAAUGUUGGGUUAAGUCCCGCAACGAGCGCAACCCUUAUCCUUUGUUGCCAGCGGUUAGGCCGGGAACUCAAAGGAGACUGCCAGUGAUAAACUGGAGGAAGGUGGGGAUGACGUCAAGUCAUCAUGGCCCUUACGACCAGGGCUACACACGUGCUACAAUGGCAUAUACAAAGAGAAGCGACCUCGCGAGAGCAAGCGGACCUCAUAAAGUAUGUCGUAGUCCGGAUUGGAGUCUGCAACUCGACUCCAUGAAGUCGGAAUCGCUGGUAAUCGUAGAUCAGAAUGCUACGGUGAAUACGUUCCCGGGCCU